rnacentral:rRNA from 1 species
UACGGAGGGUGCGAGCGUUGUUCGGAAUUACUGGGCGUAAAGGGCGCGUAGGCGGCCUGCUAAGUCGAACGUGAAAUCCCUGGGCUCAACCCAGGAACUGCGUCCGAUACUGGUUGGCUUGAAUCCGGGAGAGGGACGUGGAAUUCCAGGUGUAGCGGUGAAAUGCGUAGAUAUCUGGAGGAACACCGGUGGCGAAGGCGGCUUCCUGGACCGACACUGACGCUGAGGCGCGAAAGCUAGGGGAGCAAACGGG